rnacentral:antisense_RNA from 1 species
GGGGCUCCCAGAACCCACUCUCCCCAAAGGCGAGUUUCCCAGACGCCGCUCGUGCUGUUGCUGGAAAGCGAGCUCGCUGUAGACCGGCCGCGACACCACGUAGCUGCAGCUGUACUCGGGGAGCUGCGGCGGCUCCGACCUGCCGCGUGGCGCUGCCAUGACCUGCGAGCCAGAGGACAGCGAGGAGGGAGGAGACGCGAGACAGGGUUUUGCCAUCUUGCUCAGGCUGGUCUCAAACUCCUGUGCUCAAGCGAUCCACCUGCUUCGUCCUCCCAGGGUGCUGGGAUUACAUGUGUGAGCCACCACACCCAGAGGAAAUGACAUUUGAAGAGAGACUAAAGGAUGAGAAACAGCCUUCCUGGAAGAGGAAACAGCAAAUGCAAAAAUUCUGAGUUAGGAAAGAACUUGAUGCACUUGAGAAACAAAAAGAAGGCCGGCAAGACUGAAAUCCACAUAAGUCAGACCCGGGCACAGCAAACUGGACGUCCUCAGUAUAUAUGUGGCAACUGAAACCAGGCAUUUAGGACAUGAUCUCAUUCUGUUGCCCAGGGUGAGUGCAGCGGCACCUUCAUGGCUCAUUGCAGUCUCGAUCUCCCAGGCUCAAGCGAUCCUCCCACCUCAGCCUCCCAAAGUGCUGAGAUUGCAGGUGUGAGCCACCUUGCCCAGACCAUUCUGCAAUCUUCGGAAGGAAGUCAUUAUAUGCAGCCUACGCUUGAGGAGUGGGGAGUUGAAUUCCACAUCCUUGAGGGCAGAAUACCUAAAUAAAUUAUUUGGAAUUCUUCUGCAAGAGA